UUAAGAUAGCGGGCAAGACCAAAGACAGUAGCUGUCCGGAUAACCCCGAACUUAAUCCGCUACCGAGGUAAAUUAAGCUUCGCCUAAGACAGUCUUUGGUUUAAAUAGCCAAAGAUUUUUUAAUUGUCAUG
rfam:Candidatus Saccharibacteria bacterium RIFCSPHIGHO2_12_FTLL_47_16b rifcsphigho2_12_scaffold_524, whole genome shotgun sequence.